UCCCUGGUGAAUAGUUGUGUUCAUUGUUUAUUCGUUGGUCCCUGGUGGAUAGUUGUGUUCAUUGUUUAUUCGUUGGUCCCUGGUGGAUAGUUGUGUUCAUUGUUUAUUCGUUGUCCCUGGUGGAUAGUUGUGUUCAUUGUUUUAUUCGUUGGUCCCUGGUGGAUAGUUGUUUCCUUGUUUAUUCUUUGGUCCCUGGUGGAUAUGUUGUGUUCAUUGUUUAUUCGUUGGUCACUGGUGGAUAGUUCCUUGUUUAUUCGUUGGUCCUUGGUGGAAUGUUGUGUUCAUUGUUUAUUCGUUGGUCCCUGGUGAUUGUAUUGUUUUCAUUGUUUAUUUUUUGGUCCAUGGUGGAUAGUUAAGUUCAUUGUUUAUUCAUUGUUCCCUGGUAGAUAGUUGUCUCAUUGUUUAUUCGUUGGUCCCUGGUUGAUAGUUGUGUUCAUUGUUUAUUCGUUGGUCCCUUGUGGAUAGUUUUGGUCUCUUGUGGAUAGUUGAGUUCAUUGUUUAUUCGUUGGUCCCUGGUGGAUAGUUUUCUCAUUGUUUAUUCGUUGGUCCCUGGUUGAUAGUUGUGUUCAUUGUUUUAUUCGUUGGUCCCUGGUGGAUAGUUCAGUUCAUUGUUUAUUCGUUGGUCCCUGGUGGAUAGUUGUCUCAUUGUUUAUUCGUUGGUCCCUGGUGGAUAGUUGUCUCAUUGUUUAUUCGUUGGUCCCUGGUGGAUAGUUGUGUUCAUUGUUUAUUCGUUGGUCCCUGGUUGAUAGUUGUUCUCAUUGUUUAUUCGUUGGUCCCUGGUGGAUAGUUG
rnacentral:lncRNA from 1 species